rnacentral:rRNA from 1 species
UGGGGAAUCUUGCACAAUGGGGGAAACCCUGAUGCAGCGACGCCGCGUGAGCGAUGAAGGUUUUCGAAUCGUAAAGCUCUGUCCUAUGGGAAGAUAAUGACGGUACCAUAGGAGGAAGCCCCGGCUAACUACGUGCCAGCAGCCGCGGUAAUACGUAGGGGGCUAGCGUUGUCCGGAAUCACUGGGCGUAAAGGGUUCGCAGGCGGAAAUGCAAGUCAGGUGUAAAAGGCGGUAGCUUAACUACUGUAAGCAUUUGAAACUGCAUAUCUUGAGAAGAGUAGAGGUAAGUGGAAUUUUUAGUGUAGCGGUGAAAUGCGUAGAUAUUAAAAAGAAUACCGGUGGCGAAGGCGACUUACUGGGCUCAUUCUGACGCUGAGGAACGAAAGCGUGGGUAGCAAACAGG